rnacentral:rRNA from 1 species
GACGAACGCUGGCGGCGUGCUUAACACAUGCAAGUCGAACGGAAAGGCCCUGCUUUUGUGGGGUGCUCGAGUGGCGAACGGGUGAGUAACACGUGAGUAACCUGCCCUUGACUUUGGGAUAACUUCAGGAAACUGGGGCUAAUACCGGAUAGGAGCUCCUGCUGCAUGGUGGGGGUUGGAAAGUUUCGGCGGUUGGGGAUGGACUCGCGGCUUAUUAGCUUGUUGGUGGGGUAGUGGCUUACCAAGGCUUUGACGGGUAGCCGGCCUGAGAGGGUGACCGGCCACAUUGGGACUGAGAUACGGCCAAGACUCAUACGGGAGGCAGCAGCGGGAAAUGUUGCACGAUGGGCGGAAGCCUGAUGCAGCAACGCCGCGUGCGGGAUGACGGCCUUCGGGUUGUAAACCGCUUUCGCCUGUGACGAAGCGUGAGUGACGGUAAUGGGUAAAGAAGCACCGGCUAACUACGUG